GACAGAGGGGGGCAAGCGUUGCUCGGAAUCACUGGGCGUAAAGGGCGCGUAGGCGGGAUGGCAAGUCGGUCGUGAAAUCCUUCGGCUCAACCGAAGAACGUCGGCCGAUACUGCCGUUCUUGAGGGAUGCAGAGGAGAUUGGAAUUCCCGGUGUAGCGGUGAAAUGUGUAGAGAUCGGGAGGAACACCGGUGGCGAAGGCGGGUCUCUGGGGCAUCUCCUGACGCUGAGGCGCGAAAGCGUGGGGAGCAAACAGG
rnacentral:rRNA from 1 species